rnacentral:rRNA from 1 species
UACGAAGGGGGCUAGCGUUGCUCGGAAUUACUGGGCGUAAAGGGCGCGUAGGCGGAUAGUUUAGUCAGAGGUGAAAGCCCAGGGCUCAACCUUGGAAUUGCCUUUGAUACUGGCUAUCUUGAGUUCGGAAGAGGUAAGUGGAAUGCCGAGUGUAGAGGUGAAAUUCGUAGAUAUUCGGCGGAACACCAGUGGCGAAGGCGACUUACUGGUCCGAUACUGACGCUGAGGCGCGAAAGCGUGGGGAGCAGACAGG